rnacentral:lncRNA from 1 species
AGGACUGAUUCGACCGGAGAUCCCUCUGGAAUUCGACGGCGGCGGCGGUGGCGGCGGCGGCGAAACCCUAGGAGCUUUUCUAGAGAGAGAGAGAGAGAGAGAGAGAGAGAGAGGGAGGGAAGCGGGGAACGAGAAGCGCGGAGAGAAACGAGGGAGUUUGUUGCGGACGAGAAGCGUUGCAGGAUGUGUGAUCGCGAGGCCUCCAGAAGACGGUGGGGAGACGCCUUUAUAUAGUGGGGAGACGGGGGCGGGCUCCGCGUCCACGCGUUCGGCGUAUAAUCGGCAGGGUAAGGUAGGGCGUAUCUCGUAAUUUAAAUGCCUUUCCCUAUUUUCGUUAUUUUAUUCUCGAUUUACUUCCUUUAUUUAAUGGCUUUCCCUAUUUUUUUGUAUUUAAUUCUGGAUUUACUUCCGUCUCUGUCCACGCCUUUCUUUAUUUUGCGGGUCGCAAUUGAUUUCCGUUUCCUGGAUUUUCU